UACGUAGGGUGCGAGCGUUGUCCGGAAUUACUGGGCGUAAAGAGCUCGUAGGUGGUUUGUCGCGUUGUUCGUGAAAACCGGGGGCUUAACUCUCGGCGUGCGGGCGAUACGGGCAGACUGGAGUACUGCAGGGGAGACUGGAAUUCAUGGUGUAGCAGUGAAAUGCGUAGAGAUCAUGAGGAAGACCAGUGGCGAAGGCGGGUCUCUGGACAGUUCCUGACACUGAGGAGCGAAAGCGUGGGGAGCGAACAGG
rnacentral:rRNA from 1 species